ACUCCUACGGGAGGCAGCAGUUAGGAAUAUUCGGCAAUGGGGGAAACCCUGACCGAGCGACACUGCGUGAAGGAGGAAGGCCUUAGGGUUGUAAACUUCUGAACGAGAGACGAUAAUGACGGUAUCUCGGUAAUAGCACCGGCUAACUCCGUGCCAGCAGCCGCGGUAAUACGGAGGGUGCGAGCGUUAUCCGGAAUCACUGGGCGUAAAGGGCGCGUAGGCGGUUACAUAAGUCCGAUGUUAAAGCGUAGGGCUCAACCCUAUAAAGGCGUUGGAUACUGUGAAACUAGACUUCUGGAGAGGUAAGUGGAAUUACCAGAGUAGCGGUGAAAUGCGUAGAUACUGGUAGGAACACCCAUAGCGAAGGCAGCUUACUGGACAGAGAGUGACGCUGAGGCGCGAAAGUGUGGGGAGCAAACCGGAUUAGAUACCCUGGUAGCUACGAGU
rnacentral:rRNA from 1 species